rnacentral:rRNA from 1 species
AGCGAACGCUGGCGGCAGGCCUAACACAUGCAAGUCGAACGAACCUUUCGGGGUUAGUGGCGGACGGGUGAGUAACACGUGGGAACGUGCCUUUAGGUUCGGAAUAACUCAGGGAAACUUGUGCUAAUACCGAAUGUGCCCUUCGGGGGAAAGAUUAAUCGCCUUUAGAGCGGCCCGCGUCUGAUUAGCUAGUUGGUUGAGGUAAUGGCUCACCAAGGCGACGAUCAGUAGCUGGUCUGAGAGGAUGAUCAGCCACAUCGGGACUGAGACACGGCACAAACUCCUACGGGAGGCAGCAGUGGGGAAUCUUGCGCAAUGGGCGAAAGCCUGACGCAGCCAUGCCGCGUGAAUGAUGAAGGUCUGAGGAUUGUAAAAUUCUUUCACCGGGGACGAUAAUGACGGUACCCGGAGAAGAAGCCCCGGCUAACUUCGUG